rnacentral:lncRNA from 1 species
GAAUUUCUCCAGUCAGUGCCCCCAUAAAUCUACCAUGAGAAACAGCAGAGGAAGCAUUGUUCUCUCCAUGCCCUAAACAAUACCUUCCAGGUCAACCAUGCCUUCACCCAGGAAGUACUAUGAAAGAUUUUUUUAUAAGUUGUCUCUAAACACUAUGAUGACAUGUCACAGGGGAAACAUGCUGGGAAAUGCAAAUUAAAAUGUGAACAUUGCUAUGGCAGGACCUAAAGCUAAAUGCUAUAAAGCUGUUACCCUGAAGAAAGGAGGACAAAUUGAUCACUCUCACCAACACCCUGGGUUUUUAGCAAGAAACUUUCCUCCAUCUGAUCCAGGAAUCUCUAGAAACUUUACUCCAAAAGGCAACACUGAAUUUGUGUUUUUGGAAAUAGGAAAGACCAAAAACUAAAACCAAUAAAAGCAACUGGAGGUGAAAGUGU